AUCCAGCUGACGGGUCCUAACCAGGAUAAAACGUGAGUCCUGGAU
rnacentral:hammerhead_ribozyme from 1 species